rnacentral:rRNA from 1 species
CCUACGGGAGGCAGCAGUGGGGAAUAUUGGACAAUGGGCGCAAGCCUGAUCCAGCAAUGCCGCGUGAGUGAUGAAGGCCUUAGGGUCGUAAAGCUCUUUUACCAGGGAUGAUAAUGACAGUACCUGGAGAAUAAGCUCCGGCUAACUCCGUGCCAGCAGCCGCGGUAAUACGGAGGGAGCUAGCGUUGUUCGGAAUUACUGGGCGUAAAGCGUACGUAGGCGGUUAUUCAAGUCAGAGGUGAAAGCCCGGGGCUCAACCCCGGAACGGCCUUUGAAACUAGGUAGCUAGAAUCUUGGAGAGGUCAGUGGAAUUCCGAGUGUAGAGGUGAAAUUCGUAGAUAUUCGGAAGAACACCAGUGGCGAAGGCGACUGACUGGACAAGUAUUGACGCUGAGGUACGAAAGCGUGGGGAGCAAACAGGAUUAGAUACCCUGGUAGUCCACGCCGUAAACGAUGAUAACUAGCUGUCCGGGCACUUGGUGCCUGGGUGCGCNGCUACGCAUAAGUUAUACGUCCGUGGAGCGCGUCGCGAGAGUAAACUACGAAGAAGUAGUAAGNGUGAGAGUGCGAGCGACGACGAGGAGAGG